rnacentral:lncRNA from 1 species
CCUUUGUUCAGUUUUCGGAAUUCCGGUUUGGAUUCAAAUGUUGCCGGUCUGGACAUGUCUGGGAAACGACAGGGCGCCCGUAGCGUUGGGUUUGCCCUAAAAAACCGAUAACGAAAUGAUAAAUGAAGUUACAUGAAUACAUGACCCCAAGAAGUCGUUAAUUUAAUCGUCUGCGUGUUGUCUAGCCUAAUGUAAGUGUGUAACGAGGUAAGCCGUGUUAAGCUCGUUAGGGCGUUAAGAUCGUUCAGGUUAUAUUUUAAGAAUUCAAAUUUCAGUUACUCCAUACUCCACUCGAUGAGAGACGACGUGAAACUUUUGAUACCAUAUCUGACCAAAUAUUGUUUGACAACCGUUUUCCCGUAAACUAAAAUCAGUAACAAAACUCGUUAACGUUAAUCACUUUUUCUUUUAAUUGGUUUAUUUCGAAAUCUUUUUGGUGUUUGUUUUAUAAUGGAAAUAAUUGGACAUUAUCAUGAAAAAAGUACCUUCCGUAUAAUCAAUGAAUAUUGCAAAAGUUGCCGGGAAUAUGCGUGUUAGUUGCUUCUUUGUUCCCUUUAUCGAAUUCAAG